rnacentral:rRNA from 1 species
AGGACGAACGCUGGCGGCGUGCUUAACACAUGCAAGUCGAGCGAGGUAUCACCCUUCGGGGUGGUGUCCUAGCGGCGAACGGGUGAGUAACACGUGGGUAACCUGCCCUCAUCUCUGGGAUAACCCCGGGAAGCCGGAGCUAAUACCGGAUACGAGACCUGGUGGCAUCACUAGGUCUGGAAAGAACUUCGGAUGAGGAUGGACCCGCGGCCUAUCAGCUAGUUGGUGAGGUAACGGCCCACAAGGCGACGACGGGUAGCCGGCCUGAGAGGGCGACCGGCCACACUGGGACUGAGACACGGCCCAGACUCCUACGGGAGCAGCAGUGGGAAUAUUGCGCAAUGGACGAAAGCCUGACGCAGCGACGCCGCGUGAGGGAUGAAGGCCUUCGGGUUGUAAACCUCUUUCGAGCAGGGACGAAGCGCAAGUGACGGUACCUGCAAGAAGAAGGACCGGACCAACGUACGUGCCAGCAGCCGC